rnacentral:rRNA from 1 species
AUUGAACGCUGGCGGCAUGCCUUACACAUGCAAGUCGAACGGUAACAGGUCUUCGGAUGCUGACGAGUGGCGAACGGGUGAGUAAUACAUCGGAACGUGCCUAGUAGUGGGGGAUAACUACUCGAAAGAGUGGCUAAUACAGCAUGAGAUCUACGGAUGAAAGCAGGGGAUGGCAAGACCUUGUGCUACUCGAGCGGCCGAUGGCAGAUUAGGUAGUUGGUGGGAUAAAAGCUGACCCAGCCGACGAUCUGUAGCUGGUCUGAGAGGACGAUCAGCCACACUGGGACUGAGACACGGCCCAGACUCCUACGGGAGGCAGCAGUGGGGAAUUUUGGACAAUGGGCGCAAGCCUGAUCCAGCAAUGUCGCGUGCAGGAUGAAGGCCUUCGGGUUGUAAACUGCUUUUGUACGGAACGAAAAGCCCUGGGUUAAUACCCUGGGGUCAUGACGGUACCGUAAGAAUAAGCACCGGCUAACUACGUGCCAGCCGCCGCCGUAA